GACGAACGCUGGCGGCGUGCUUAACACAUGCAAGUCGAACGGUAAGGCCCUUCGGGGUACACGAGUGGCGAACGGGUGAGUAACACGUGGGUGAUCCGCCCUGCACUUCGGGAUAAGCCUGGGAAACUGGGUCUAAUACCGGAUAGGACCACUGCCUGCAUGGGUGGGGGUGGAAAGCUUCUGCGGUGUGGGAUGGGCCCGCGGCCUAUCAGCUUGUUGGUGGGGUGAUGGCCUACCAAGGCGACGACGGGUAGCCGGCCUGAGAGGGUGACCGGCCACACUGGGACUGAGAUACGGCCCAGACUCCUACGGGAGGCAGCAGUGGGGAAUAUUGCACAAUGGGCGCAAGCCUGAUGCAGCGACGCCGCGUGAGGGAUGACGGCCUUCGGGUUGUAAACCUCUUUCAGCACCGACGAAGCGCAAGUGACGGUGGGUGCAGAAGAAGGACCGGCCAACUACGUGCCAGCCGCCGCCGUAAUAC
rnacentral:rRNA from 1 species